UGUUUUUUCUGUCUUUUACGUUGUUGUUUUCUGUUUUUUCUGAAUCAAAUGUUUACUCGAAGGAAAAAUAUAAAUUUCGAAGGUGUUGAGCUCCUAAAUUGACUCUGCCUAUUGCCCAUCGACACCUGCUGACUGUCUGUUGUCGCCUUGGACGAAGCGGAAAAUUCUUUAGUCAAAUCGUCAAAAGCUUCGACUGGAAAAUCAGCUUAAAUGUCUAAAAAUACCGAAAAUUACUCGCAAAUGGGUGCUAGAAGAGAAAUCAGCGUAAUUUUCCGACCACCUCUUGUUCCACCGGGCGUCUGAUAGUUGAACUGAGACCCAGUGAUUAGGCAAAAAAAGUUCCGUAGAUUUGUGCGGCUUCAAACGCACACAUGUAUAUGUGUAUAUGUACAUAUAUGACAGCUUAUUGGUACAUAUGUAUGUGUGACUGUUUCGGAAAAGUUUGGCAACUUCUAAAGUACAUCUAAAUCUCGCAGCGAAAGGUGCCAACAUUAUCAAAAUGUGAUUGCGUAAACGACCAGAAACAAAUACAGCAAACAGACGUACACAACAAUAACAACAACAAUACACACACAAUUCAGCCAGUGUGGGCCAGUGCCGGCGCUGAGGGUUGAAAAGCCAUUGGGUAUUUGAUUUGUUUUGUUCAAUGUUCUUCAGAUAAAAGUAAGAAGUUUAUAUCUUCCACGGCAUAACGGCAUAUCGGCUCUUAGUCACUGUCAGCAGCAAAUCUUCAAUUUUAUAUAAGACAACACAAUAAAUUUCGGCGGAAAAAGUAUGUUUGUAUGUAUGUAUGUAAAUAUAUAGUAAGUACACAAGUACGAAGUUAUGUAUUAGAAUGAAUG
rnacentral:lncRNA from 1 species